ensembl:processed_transcript Foxd2os forkhead box D2, opposite strand
AGAGGUCCUCUGCUCCCGGGCCCGGCGGGAACAAACUGCCGCGGUGGCGGGAGCUAGGCUCGCUUGGCUGGAGGCGGGUCAUCCUUCUCCUCGCAGCUCCCGCAACCCCCGUGGCUCCCUGGAGCCACCACCUUCAGUGCGCUCAGUCGCUGGAAGUCAAAGCUUAUGUUCUGGUGAUGGCAGUGACUACAAACCUCCUCUCCUCAUCUCCCCAAGGCGGCGCCCGGGCCACCCGGGCCGAAGCGCGGAUGGAUCGCCAGUGAGCCCAGACGCCCAGACGGACGCCGCAGACAAGUACCUACUAGAGGCUAAGGGGGUUCUGGACGACUAGUGAAAAGAGUGAUCUGGAGGGCAAACUUGGCGCCGGUAGAUCCUAUUCAGAGAGUCUAAAGAUUCCAGUGGAUGGAGGAAGACAGUGGCUUCAUAGGAACUAGAACAGCUGUCAGCUGCAGAGUCAAGCUCCUCCAGGAAGCCUUAGUCAUCCUGAGUCCCCCCUCCCAUCUCAGAAAUGAUGUGUAGUUUCCAAAACAAUUUAUCUCUACUGGAACAAGGAAAUAAACAAAGAAAAAGGAAGAUAUAGAAUCCAGGAAGCAGAAGACGUAACACAGGACAGAGAUGAAGGGAUGUGACAGAACACUUGAUUGACAUGUUCAUGGCACAGGUUUCAUCCCUAGCACUGCAAAACGGCUGGAGAGAUGGCUCAGUAGUUGGGAGCACUGAGGUCUUGAGUUCAAUUCCCAGAAACCACGUGGUGACUCACAACCAUCUGUAGUGAGAUCUGAUGCCUUCUUCUGGUGUGUCUGAAGACAGUGACAGUGUACUCAAAUACAUAAAAUAAAUAAAAAUUUAAAGUUUUUAUAUGUAUG